rnacentral:rRNA from 1 species
AGAGUUUGAUCAUGGCUCAGGACGAACGCUGGCGGCGUGCUUAACACAUGCAAGUCGAACGAUGACGGUGGUGCUUGCACCGCCUGAUUAGUGGCGAACGGGUGAGUAACACGUGAGUAACCUGCCCUCCACUUCGGGAUAACCUCGGGAAAUCGUGGCUAAUACCGGAUAUGAGCACUCAUCGCAUGGUGGGUGUUGGAAAGAUUUAUCGGUGGGGGAUGGACUCGCGGCCUAUCAGUUUGUUGGUGAGGUGAUGGCUCACCAAGACGAUGACGGGUAGCCGGCCUGAGAGGGCGACCGGCCACACUGGGACUGAGACACGGCCCAGACUCCUACGGGAGGCAGCAGUGGGGAAUAUUGCACAAUGGGCGAAAGCCUGAUGCAGCGACGCCGCGUGGGGGAUGACGGCCUUCGGGUUGUAAACCCCUUUCAGUAGGGAAGAAGCGAGAGUGACGGUACCUGCAGAAGAAGCGCCGGCUAACUACGUGCCAGCAGCCGCGGUAAUAC